rnacentral:lncRNA from 1 species
AUGCUAUCUUGAAAAGAAAAUAAAAAUGUUAAAAAAUGCUAAGCCCCAUGUGAGUAUACGAGUGGCAUAAAACCCAUAAGUACCUUCACUGUGGUGGCAUAAAAAUAAAAUAAAUAUUUCUUUUUUACUUUAUAAAAUAAAAAUAUAAAAACAGGGAGUAAUAUUUAUUGAGGAAGCUCAACGUGAUGAAGGCUAGAUAUUUAUGCUAACACUUAAUUAGUUCCACAAGCUUUGUUGUCUAUUUGAGCUCCACAGAAUUUAAGAAUCAAGAAGACUAGCAGAUGGAGGACAUUCUAAUCGCUGUCAGAAUGCUGCUGACUUUCAAAUACACCUCUGCCACCUGCUAGCUAUAUCAAGAGAAAUUACGUUAAAAUUCGGCUUGGGGGAGAGCACCCCUAUUUAUCUCGCUAAGUAUUUCUACCUAUCUUUAUACUUAUAUUAUAUUAGAAUAUUAAAAUACAUAAACUAUGAAAAACCAAAUAAAGAUUUUAUGCUUAUAUAUAUAUAUAUCUUUUCUUAGUUUGCUAAAUAAAUAAAUAAAUAAAUAAAUAAAUAAAUAAAUAAAUAAAUAAAUAAAGUUUGCUAUGAAUCUUAAUAAUAAAACUCUAGCAUGGAUAUUAUGAAUAGUUGCUCUGCCUAAUUUGCAAAUUUGAAGUUCUCUCUCAAGUUUAGACAUAACUGUUAUAAUUUAAAGCUUGCUCUAGAUCUAAACUUGUGGGAUGAAAACUUGAUCUGAAAUCUAAGUUGUUAACGGAUAUGAUAUGGGAAGGUUGAGCUGCUGUUUAUCUAUUCCUAGAGAUGCUAGAAUUCUGGAGAAUUUUAUCUUUGAAAAAUCUUUAAAAUAUUGCAUGAUGAGUUCCUGUAUGAUGAAAGUUUAAAUUCCUACCACAGCCAUAUAUACAUGCUUGCUAGACUUUGAGCCACACAUUUAUUUACUGCUUAUGAGCAUUGAGUGUGGUCAAGCUGUGUAGACCCUUAGGAGCUUGUCAUGUGGUUAAAUCAAGAUUCACUUGCACGUUCACUCAUAUAUGCUACUUCUACUCCGGAAGUACCAUCCACAUAUAUCCAUCCAUUUCCAUCUCCAGUUUCACCCAAAAUCAUUCUAUUCCUAAUCCGGGAGAGAAUAGCCAAAAACAUUUUCCUAUCCCUGUUAUUCCCUGUGAAAUAAAUGCUCCAGUUAUUUUGGUUACUACCACUUGCUACAUUAUUUCAGGAGAUGAGUGCUCUGAAAAAAAAGAAAAGAGAAGAGAAGAAAAAAUAAUAAUAAUAAUAAACGAGGAAAUAAAAAGGGGCAAGUGCCCGGAACCUCGAAAGAAAGAAAAAGUGAGACGAGAGGUAAAAAUGGACAAGUGUCCGACAGUAGAAUUAGGGGUACAAGAUACCCACCUGAGAGGAAAGAAAAAGAAGAGCAUCUCAUUCUCCUCAUAAAGUUUCAAAAAGCAAGGAAGGUAUGUAUCCCCUCAUAAGAGCAAAAGUAGAAUUAGACUUUCACCAUUGUUAUCACCAUCAUCACUAUACACCAUUCAUUCGCCACACAUGCACAUCUUGAUUUGGCUUAUUGAUUUGUUUCUUUGGAUCCAUGGUUUGACUAUACAAUAAAUGUCUUGUAAGUAUGUAUACUUUAUCUCCCACCUAUGAGCUCCAGAUAUUAAAGCCUUAUUAGAGUAGGGUGAGAGAGAAGGCAAUGUCACUAUGCCUUAUACCACAAAUACCACAUAUUUUGAGAGAAGGCAUAUACCAUCACUGCCUUGGUAAGGAUCCAGAAAUACCACAAAAGAGAGAUAUGAGAGAGUCAUACAAAGGAAUCUCUGAGUUUUAUUUAAAAAUCUACAAAAACUCCAGAGCUAUAGCUGAUCAAGAAUAAGAGACAUGGCACUUGGCUAGACUGUUCUAUCUUUUAACUACUCAAGACAGAAGUGACGGUUACAAGUCCCAUGGUGAAAGGUAAAGUAAGUAAGUUUUAGUUCUUAACAGUUUACUCUAACUCAGAGAUGAGAACUUAUUUAAAAAAGCAUGUGUACCGUCAAAUUUUUAAGAUAUUGCAACAACUUCUGAUCCAUUGCUAAGUCUAUCCUUGCUCAGGGACGAGUAAGAGGUAAGCUUGGGAGAGUUUGUUGACGGUCCUUAAGUAUCAAAUUUAAUUAUCAAAUAAACAAAGAAAAGGAUCCAAAUGAAAUCAACAUCUAGACUUAGGGUUUUAUCUGACAGAAUUCCACGAGUUUUGGUGUUUGUCUAUUUCUGCAGGGGGUUAUCAGGAAAUAAGGAAGAAAGGCCCACACGUCGGGAUUACAUAGAGAUAUCAAUGUGCCGUGCAAUUAUCUUACAUCUAGAAGACUCCAGAAGCCACGGGAAGGAAGCGGAGACCGAACGGAGUCAGGGACAGGGCGCCCGCCCAAGUCCUUAGGGCGCCCGCCCACCUCCUGUGGCCAAUCACGCUCAAUCUCGCGGAUUAUGGUCCACCGACCUAAAGGAUCAAGAAUAACCGUUCAAUCAAUGUCGGUUUGAUCCGACGGCCCAGGUUCACUUGAGGGGACUAUAAAACCAGACCCCCUGGCCCCUGGAGGAGGCACCCCCUUGAUCAUUAUUCAUUAUUCAUAGACAGAGCAAAAGCUAGGGUUUAGAGAUGAGAGCUCUCCUCUCUUCUCUAAACUAGAGUAGAUCUAGAUAGUAGCGAGAUGGAGAGCGAAGGAGGAUUAGAGGAGAGGCCGGCCUGUCGGUUCUUCCUCCGGUUGUACUUCGCCAUGAUCAAGCUCUAAUCAAGCUUGCUCAUGGGAUGACUCUGGUAAUCUACUUCUAAUUCAUUAUGCAAUUACUAAUCAUGUAUGUUCUGGUUCACAACUCUUUUGAGUACUUCUAAUCUAUAGGACCCUAUAGGUUAGAGUUGUAGUAUAGGUGUAAGCGUGGUGCUUAGACCUAGAUUACUUGUGGAUAUCCCCUGACUAGCUGGAUCGUGUGGUAGGCCGCGUAGGUGACAGUUACGUUGGUCCCCUGUAGUCCACCUCUCGUUAGCAGGACGGGUAGGGUUUAUCGGCCUAUGGAUAAGCUUCCUUUGUGGUGUACUCUUAUCACGUGGUUCGUCCCAGACAUAGACAUACCCCUUUAAAGUAGAGAAACCAUAGUUAUCCUCUCUAUUCUGCUACCAUCGCCCAUAUACUAGAAUUGCUCUAUUCUCUAUUCCCAUAUUAUCACUCACUGUUAUCUUACCUUUAAUAUUGUUCUUAUUCGAUUCUAUCAUCUUUCCUAUUUACACCUAUCUAUCUAUCUUGGUUAAGUUAGAGCGUAGUUGGUUCUCCCGUUUCCCUGUGGAUACGAUAAAACCUUUAACCGGGUAAAAGCUUCAACGGUAUCCGUGCGCUUGCGGAUUAUCUGUGUGCGUAUAAAUACCAUAGUACACUCUAGUGCCAUGCUAGGGAUGACAACCUAGUAUUCAAGUGGUGUUAGCAAGUGUCAACAAAGACGACGCAACCGCAACCAGAGGAGGCAAAUCAUCAAGGACGAAUAGGCAGACUACGAAGGAGAAGUGAUAAGGUCUGAGGACAUACAGCUUGAACAGAACUGUCCUGAGGAGACCGUAGCACCGAGUCAGGAAGAUAGUUAUACACGAAGAGGAGGCACCGCCGGAAUCACCGACUACAGCAUCCAGCGAAUCCCAGGACGACUGAGAAAACGGAGAGUCCCGUUCGGAGGACUUAAAAACACCGAACACCUUGCCAAGAGGUAAACUUGGUAGUUAUCCUUUUCCCUUCAAUUAUUCAAAAUAGUUUGCUUAGUUAAUCAGGUUCAUAUCAUCUUGAAAAGAAAAUAAAAAUGUUAAAAUAGUAAGCCCCAUGUGAGUAUGCUCAUGGCAUAAAACCCAUAAGUACAUUCACUGUGGUGGCGUAAAAAUAAAAUAAAUAUAUUCCUGUCCUAUAAAAAUGAAAGUGCAUGAUCCUGCUAAAUAAAUAAAAUUUAUUAGGAGGAAUCUCAAUAUGAUAAAGGCUAAGAGAUUUUAUGCUAACACUUAACCAGUUCCACAAAGCUUUGUUGUCUAUUUGAUCUCCACAGAAUUCAAAGAUCAAAGAAGACUAGCGAACGGAGGACAUCCUAAUCGCUGUCAGGGUGCUGCCAACAUUCAAAUACACCUCCGUCACCUGCUAGUUGUAUCGGAAGAAAUUACGUUAAAAUCUAGCUUGGGGGAGAGCACCUCCAUUUAUCCAGCUAAGUGUUUCUACUCGCGUUUAUACUUUACUCAAAUAAUAAAAAGAUGCAUAAUCAUAAAAACCCAAACAAAGAUUUUUUGCUAAUAUAUAUACAUCUUUGCUUAGUUUGCUAAAUAAAUAAUAAAUAAAGUUUGCUAUGAACCCUCAUGAUAAGCUCUCACAUGGAAAUGAUGAAUAAUUGCUCUGCCAUGACUAGUUCUCAAAAUUGAAAUCUCUCUCAAGUUUAGGCAUGACUGUUAUGAAUUAAGAUUUGCUCUAAACCUGAACUUGUGGAAAGAGUACUUGAUCUAAACUCUAAGUCGUUAACGGAUAUGAUAUGGGAAGGUUGAGCUGUUGUUUAUCUGUUCCUAGAGAUGCUAGAAUUCUGGAGAAUUUUAUCUUUGAAAAUCUUUAAAAUGUUGCAUGAUGAGUUCCUGUAUGAUGAGAGUUUAAAAUCCUACCACAACCAUAUAUACAUGCUUAUUAGACUAUGAACCAUACAUUUACUUUUUACUACUUAUGAGCAUUGAGUGUGGUCAAGCUGUGUAGAUCCUUAGGAGCUUGUCAUGCGGUUAAAAUCAAGAUCCACUUGCACGUUCACUCAUACAUGCUACUUCUACUACGGAAGUAUGCAUCCACAUACAUCCACUCAAUUCCAUCUCCAGAUUCACCUAAAAUUAUUCUACUCCUAAUCCGGGAGAGAAUAGCCAAAAACAUUCUCCUAUUUCUAUUUUUCCCUGUGAAAUAAAUGCUCGAGUUAUCUUGGUUACUACCACUUGCUAUAUUAUUUCAAGAGAUGAGUGCUCUAAAAAAAGAGAAAGAGAAAAAAAAAUAUAUACGAGGAAAUAAAAAGGGGCAAGUGCCCGAAACCUCGAAAGAAAACAAAAAGUGAGACGAGAGGUAAAAAUAGACAAGUGUCCGACAGUAGAAUUAGGGGUACAAGAUACCCACCUGUGAGAAAAGAAAAAUAAAAUAUAGAGCAUCUCAUUGUCCUCCAAAAGCUUCAAAGUGCAAGAAAGGUAUGUAUCCCCUAAAAAGAGCAAAAGUAGAAUUAGACUUUCACCAUUGUUAUCACCAUCAUCACCAUACACCAUUCACUCGCCACACAUGCACAUCUUGAUUUAACUUAUUGACUUGUUCUUCUGGAUCCAUGGUUUGACUAUGCAAUAAAUGUCUUGUAAGUAUGCAUUAUCUGUCUCCCACCUAUGAGCUCCAGAUAUCAAAACCUUAUUAGAGUAGGGUUAGAAAGAAGGCAAUAUCACUAUGCCUCAUACCAAAAACACCACAUACUAUGAGAGAAGGCAUAUACCAUUACUGCCUUGGAAAGGAUCCAGAAAUACCACAAAAGAGAGAUUUGAGAGAAUCAUAUAAGGAAUCUCUGAGUUUUAUUUAAAAAUCUGCAAAAACUCCAG